UCAAAAGUGUCUGAAAGUCAGUGAAAAAACUUGUUGUAAAAGAGCUAAUUAAUAACAGAGCUCAGGGUGCUUAAGAAGCUGAAUCUAUGGAGACUGAAGAAAGUAUUUUUAAACCCAUUCUGGAGCUGCAGUUAUUAACAAAUGGUUGAUCAUCACAGACAUCAUCCUGUGGUUGCUUCCACUCUGUUUCUCACAGUGACCUCAGCAGCAAAGGGAAGCAAAUCAGAAGAGUAUUGAAAAAUCAAAAUAAAACCAAAAUAAAAUUAAUUAGUAUAGCCUAUCAAGGUACUUGUCAUGUCUGUGCACAUACAGCUGAGCUGAGUCUUGCAUUCAAAAUAACAAUCCAAUGGCAUUUGCUAUUGUUUUUUUUUUAACGUAGAAGAGGCACGGUUUUCACGAAGACUUACAGCACAACUAUAAGAGCACACAGUGAAUUUCCUGAGAAUUUACAACCUUGGUAGUGGAUUAAUCCAAACCUUCAUCGUAUUCAGAGACUGCAAGGAUCUGCACUGACAACAUCUGAAGAGGAUGCUAUGAGGAACAUCUGAAGAUACCUGAGAAGCCCCCAGCUAGAACGGCCCUUUCACUUCCCACCAGGAGGGACAAUUCGCUGCAGUUCUUCUGUAAACAGAGGGAAGCAGGCGCUGCUCUGAGUGAUGAAUCUCCUAACUGUGUGCAGACGGAUCAGUCCCACUGAGAACUGCCUUGUUGCGUUGUCGUGGGAGAGAAAAAAUGUUAUGCUUAACAUCAUUUAAGGCUAACCUGACAUCACAAACGUUCAGAGGCUUUGAUUAUUGCAUGAGAUCACUGCAGUAAAAGGAGAAGACAGCAUUAAACAAUUAGGCAUGUAGUACAGAUGUAAUUACUUGGGAUACAGGAGAUAGCAAUAUAUGCUUUGUCAAAUCAGUAGGAAAAGGAUGCAGCUGUUGUACGCAGCCCCUGCUGAAGGUAAUACAAUGAUUGUGAUAAUGCCUAUAUAAUCUUCAGCAAUGUAAUACUGCAAUUCUAUUCAUCCUCUUUCUACUAAGAAUCUCAAAGAAUUUAAUUACUUCAAUAAAUUAAGAUUCUCCUUCUGUUCAGAUCAGGAAAAUAUUUUAAGACUAGAUCCACUUCUUUACAGAGAACAUCAGAACAGAGAAAAUCAGCAGAAUUUUUGUUUAGUUUGAUGGAUUUAAUCUCAGAGACUUUCUACACCAUUAGGAUAAUGAAAAAAAAGGAGAAGCCAAACACAUUCAGGUUCCACAAAGGCACUGUUUGUAUGCUUGCAUAACGAACAUACAACUUGAAACUUCAAACUGUAAACUAAUAACCCUCUCAGAAAGUAUUUGUUCCAUCCACGUGUAGAGACCCAACAGUGGGUUGGGUCACCUUUCUCUGAAUCAUUAAGUUUUGACUAUUGUUUGGGCAGUGUAU